rnacentral:lncRNA from 1 species
UUCAUCUCGCGGCUCGCCAAAAAACAUCCGUCCCAUUCAGCUUUUUUCUAAGAUCAAGCGCGAAUCAAAGCUAGCGAUCGGCACUAAACAUCGAACGGAAAGGACGAAAUCGAAGGGAGAUCGUUACUCGACGAGAGCUGCGCCCGGGGAUUUCUCACUGAGGCCAGAGGACUCGAGACUGCGCUCAUCGUCACGGCGUGCGGCAGGCGGCGGGAGCGAGGCCGGCGAUCGGAAGGGGGCGAAGCGCGACGGCGGCGAGGUUCAAUUCGAGAGAGGAAUGAGAAAUGGAAGGAGGAAGGAGAUUAAAAAAGGGACGAUCCGUUGUGGUGCUCGAUAGUAUCGAUGCAGCUCGCUCGCUUGGGAGCGACACAGUCGAAGAGACGAAGAGCGGUGGCGAUCGCCUGCUUCGCGGCUUAGAUGAUUAGCGAUGAGAUAAGGGCCUUGAAGGCCGUAGAUUCGAUCCUUGAGCAAGAUCCCACGCAGAUAGAGUCCGGGCGGCGGGCUACUGACGGCGGCCCGAUCGUUUUCAGCCGUUGAAUUGGAUUUGGCCGAGCGUUUUGAGAAGAAAGAAGAAAGAUAAAUUCAAACUUUUGGGAUUGACAAUUUUAGAUAAAUGGGACAAUGCGAACAGAGCAUCAGUAUGGCAAGACUGGUUUACCAAAUUGGCAUUCGAAAUGUGCGGCCGGUUGUAAGUAGUCAAUUUAAUAAGUGGAUUAUAUUUAUUCGUCAAUUAUAAUUUGAUUAGUUUUCAUAAUUUGUAUACUAAAUGACACAGCAAAAUGCAAGCGGUUGAUUAAAUAAGUUAGAUUAAAUCAUCAUAACUUGUCUUUUCGGUAUGUAUAUGGAUUUCAUAAAAUAUUUUGAGUAAAUAUAGUAUUUUCUUAUGUCGAAAUUGGUUUGUCCUACUCAAUAUUUAAUUUGAUUCUUGAACUUUACAUUUGGUUAAGUUGGUUAUUGUAGUCCUUGAUUUGAGUCGAUUUAAUCUUUUUAGUUAAUAUGACAAUCCAACUCACUUUGUGGAACCCAUGAAGAGAAGAGAAAAAGAAUUGGGGUUCGACGCUACCAUUGCGCCACUUGCAUCAUGCAAGAUUCGUGGACUCCAAGCAAUGGCACCACGAUUGAGUAUGGGGUUUGUUGCACUUACUUGCUAUUGACGAAAGCAAAUAGGCCUUGGUCAACAUUAGUAGAGCGUAUGACAGCGCCUUCCGUAAUUAUCUCCUUUUGCCAUAAGUAAAAUUUGAAGAAAAACUAGAAAAUCACAAACAAAAUCAACAAAUGAGGGAGGGGAGGGCGAGACUAACUCAAAGCCUUUCCCAUGAUUGAAGUUUGAAGAAGACAAAUGAAAAGAAAUGAGAAAGAAAAGACUUUUCAAUUCCUCUUAUGAUGUAAUUCUUUAUUCGAAGCAGAUAAAAAAGAAGAAAUUAUUUUUACUUAUAUCUACGUCUCAAAGUUCAAACGUAGUAAUUUAAGGACAGGUUAUUCUAAACUUCAUACUAUUCAGAUUUUUAUGUCCCACUCGUUUAAUUUCUUAAAUUAUAGACUAACCACGCAAAAAUCAAUGUUACUAUAGUAAUACUCCUCUUUAAAAAGGACGAGGGACAAAUGUGUAAAUUGGCGGUGAAAGGAUAUGAGGCGAACCCGGAUCUUUUGCGGUUCCUUUAGCAGCUGACGCAGCAUCUGCAAACCGCGAACAGCACAACGGCCAUGGCUUCCGUCCGGAGCUUCCGCAAACCGACCGCCCUCGACGGUCGUCUUCUCCGUCCGGCAGCCGCCUCGAACCGGCCGCCGGACGUCGCGAAGCAGCUCGCCCCUCCGGCUCGCGGCGCUUCGCGGAGGCUCGCGGUCUUGAUCUCUUCGCUGCCGCUGCCGCUCGCGCUCGCGCUCACUUCGCUGCCGCGGUCGUCGGAGGCCAGGGAGAGGCGCAACCGGAAGGCUAUCCCUCUCGAGGAAUACUCCAUGACCCGUGAGUCUCCCGAGCCCUCCCGUUUUUUUUUUUUUCCUUUUUUUUCUCUCGUUCCUCGGUUUCUCAUUGCGUCGAGAGCGUGAAUUUGGUCGUGCUCUGCUGUCGCGCGUGCCGGGAGAUGUUGCCGAUUCCCUUGUUUGUAGUUGGACGCGAAACCGAAUUCGAUGUCAGAUGGGGUGUUUGAAAUACGUGCUUCAUCCAUCCUUCUGAUUGAGCGAGCAAGUUGCUACGAUGAUGCAAGUGAUGCGAGUAUAAUAGGCAUUUGAGGAAGUAAUUUGAGUCGCAAUGUCGUUUGGUACAUCCCGGACUAGGUCACGCUGCGAUAAAUGGGAGCUGGAAUGUUACUUGUCAGAGGCUCUGAAUUGUGAUUUGCGCGGAUUUUAGUCUGAUGGUGUAGUUAUAGUCAAGUUGUUCCUGCAGUUUCAUUCAUCGGAGGAAGAUUGGAGAGGUGGUAGUGUGUUAUUGUGUCUGCGAUUUGCCAUUCAUGGACUGUAUCGUUGACAAUUUUGUAGCUGUGACUUGAUAUGAUCAUGUAGUUGAAGUGAAUAUGAUAGGCAUUAAAGAUGUAAUUCAGUCACAUCGUGUCCUUAGGGACGAUUAGAAUGUGCACAGUUCAAAAAAUUUGGAGGUGGUAGUAAUUACUAGUCUGAGUCUUUGUUCACAAUUCGCACGGAUUCUGUGGCUUUGUCAUUUAAUUCUGCUUAUGCUAAGAUCUUGAAGUUUACCUUGUGACUCUUUGUGCUACUUCUCUUUGUCAUCAUACCUGAUGGAAUGCAGUAGGAAAGGAAUGCUUCCCUUUAUUCAUAUCAUUUCGUAGGGCCUAGCUUAGUUUUACUUUCCUCCCACUCCUCUUUCCCAUGUACUACGUCUAUAACCCAUUUAUUCAAUUUGAAGUAUUUCCUAACUGGACUUGUAAAAAGUUUUUUUUUUCUCCUGCCAAUAGAUGCCCAAACUCAAAUGUAAUUCCUAUUCCCCAUACAGAGCAGAAAAGAAUUGAAAUCUAAGCUGCCAGAUUUGUGGGGGAAAAGGGUUCUCUUGUGUUUCACGAGAGGAAGUCGCAUUUUAGCAUCCUGUCUGUUCUGUUUUAGUAAGCAAUUCCAAUACUUGCAACAGCUGAUGGAGUGAAAUACUAUGAUAUCAUUGAGGGAAAGGGUCCAGUAGCUACAAAAGGAUCGACAGUCCAGGUUUGUUGAUGUUGGUUUUCUGUUUAUAUUUCCUUGAGCAAUAUAUGAACUGGUAACAUUCUGUGUUCAAUCCUCUGUUGCAGGUGCAUUUUGACUGUAUUUAUCGUGGUAUUACUGCUGUAUCUAGUCGAGAAUCUAAGCUUUUAGCUGGAAAUCGCAUCAUUGCUCAGGUCUUAUACUUUGGAUUUUCUUUUUUCAUUUCAUUUUGUUUUUUGUUACAGAGAAAUUUCCCUCAUUUUUGACUUGUGCCUUAUCUGGACAAAUGCUUUGCUAAUGUGCAAGCUUACUUGGCAUUAUUAGCCAUAUGAAUUCAAGGUAGGAUCUCCUCCAGGAAAGGAACGCAAGCGUGGAUCUGUAGAUAAUCCAAAUGGAUUAUUUUCAGCACAGGCAGCUCCCAAGCCGCCACCUGCUAUGUACUCGACAACAGAAGGGAUGAAAGUGGGUGGAAAGGUGAUUUUCUCUUGGUUCCCAGCGGCAGUGAAUAUUCAUCAAUGUGGCUAGUUUGCCAUUCAGUACCUGAAUUGCAUACCCUUUGACUAGUGCUGUUGUAUUUUCCUUGUCAUAUCUUCUCUGUCUUAUUGUUCUUGAACUUUUGUCCUUUUUAAAUUUUCAGAGAACAGUGAUCGUUCCUCCAGAGGCUGGCUAUGGUCAGAAGGGAAUGGCUGAGAUACCGGUAGUCUUUGUAUUCUUGAUCAUGACUAACAAUCAUUUUUGUUGUGACUUGAGUACCUUUAUUAUGGCCAUCAAAUCAGCAGGUCAUCAAAUGAUGUCAUUGGGAAUUAACAACUUUGUGUUUAGGAGCUGAAAAUACCACCAAAUGCCCGGUUCUUAGAGCUUGCUUGAAUUUUAUUGCGUCUUUUAAGAUUUCAAUUCCAAUCCUAACUGAGGUUUUCAGUAUAUUUGCAUGCUGGCUGGAGUUCAGCUGCAUUUGGCAUCUAUGAGCAUGUCAUUACAUGUUGUUGAAAGGUAAAUAUGAUUUAUUCCUAUAAUUUUAUUUACCAUUUCCAGCCAGGAGCCACCUUUGAACUGAAUAUCGAGCUUCUGCAAGUAGAACGGCCUGAAGGAAACCAGACUUAGCAUUGGGUGAGCAGGACCAUGAGGCGAUGGAGUUGAUAUAAUGCUGAAAUUUUGUCUCUUUUUCUUCUAACAGAAGGCAGAUGAGUCGGCUGAGGGAUCCUUAUGGGCAGAGCCAUUAGUCUGAUUGAAAUUGUGACUCUCCAGUUUCUUCAUAUACUGUCUGUAUCAAAAAAGCCCCUGCACAUUUUGUAUGUAUCUACCUGGAUUUUGGAAUUCAACGAAACACCUUCUUCAUCUUCUUAUAUUCUUGCUUCUAAUGCUGCAGAAUUCACUGAUAAUUGUCUGUACUAUAUAAAUGAGACUGUUGACCACAUGAGUAGAGACUAAAUUUCCAAACUUCUCUCCCAUCCUCUUUAAGGAAAACAAGAUCGGCACCUGCUUGCAACAAGCUCUGGUUUAUCUUAUCACAAGAAUGGGAACAUUGGAUGAUAGUUAGGAACAGUUUUUUUGUGCUCUGCCAUAUUUACAGUUGCGAAUUUGGCAUACUUGUUCCAUCAACCUUGAACAUUUGUUGAAUGAAGAAGCAAAAUUUAGACGGAUGAGGAGCAUGCAAGUUGCAACAGAAUUGCAUAUUAUGUCAAAACAACGAGUAUGUCAUUUUUUUUUCUUUUGAAUCGCUGGCAUUUUUCUUUAGUAAUGCAAAAAUCCACCAUAGAUAAACUCCAACCUGUGAGAUUCCUCAAUAAUCUUGUAGACAAGUCACACGGGAGCCAAAAUUUCCGUUUUCCUUUCGGAAAUUGUGCGCGGCAUUUUACAUAUUAAUCUUAAUACGAAGCAUGAAACCUAAAAUCAAUAUGGAAGGGUGGUUUUACAGUAACUUUCGUUUUCUAUCAGUGCUUCAUAUUGUGCUAAAUGAUUAGAUCCUGUUUAUUAUUAUUUGAUAGUCUUAGUUUUUGUGGUUUUAUGGCAUGAUAAGGGCCAUUUUCAGCAAUUAAUUUUGUCAGCUUGAUAUUCCAAUUGCCAAAAUCCCACACCAGGAAUCCUCUUUAGAAUAUACACACAUUCGUUCAUUACUCAUUGAAUACAUUAUACAUGCAACGGACUAAUGGAGUAUUUCAUAAAACAAAGAAAACAUGCAACGGAGAUAAUAUUUGUCACUUUAUCUUUAGGGAACAUUUACAUUUUCGUUGAAAUGUAUUUUCCCUUGGUUCAUUUCUAGCAAAACUAAAAGCAUCGUUUCAUUUUAUAUUUGAUUCGUGUAUAUUUUGAUAAUUCAAUGGGUCUGGUUUACACGAUUCUAGUUUAUUCAAUAAUUAACUAUUAGCAAUUGUUCACUUUUAUCAAAAAAUUCACUAUCACAAGUCAGAACACGAGGGUGAAAUUGUUUGAAAAUGAAUGGGAAGAAAAUGGAUAAUUGCAACCUAAAAUUAUAUUGUCUCGGGCACUUAAGUAACUUUAUUUUAUUUAUUUAAAUUCUAAAACUUGCUAUUUUAAGACCUUCCUUCAAUUGAUGAAAGGACCAAUUGAACUGAGAGUUACAAGUUCUAGGAUUCAAAUGCAAGGAUUGAAAGUAUUAGAACUUAAGUACAUGAAAUUGCCAAGUUUAAGGAUUUACGCUAAUAGUCUGCCUGAAAGAAAAUAUGAGCUUAAAUCAUCAUGAAAAUGAUUUAAUUAUUUUCAUGCUAAUGAAAUAUUUUGAAAUGCCGAAGAGGCAAUCAGACAAACAGCUCACACAAUCAGGGAUAAUUACAUCAUACCCCCUUAGGUUUUUGGUUGUGGCAAUUUACCCCUAAUAACUCAAUUUUUCCAUGUCAUCUAGGCAUCUUGAAAUCCAGUGCAAUGUUGACCAAACACUCUACAUGGUAUCUCUCACUUUAGAUUUGAUGAAAUGGGAUGAACUAAGAUGAGAUAGAGGGUAAAAAGAGUGGAUAGUGAUUGCUUUGGCAAUGCCUAUUACCUUGGGAUUGGUCGGUGCUCAUAGUGACAAUGGUCAAUGAUUCAGGUGCUCUUGCUUGGAUUACCAUUGCAUAAAAAAGAGUCAUAUCGAGCGAGAGACGAUCAGUCCUUUUUGGGGUGACAAAACCUAAGAAAGGGCAAAUGCCCAAGUAUCCUAGUUGUAAAUCAAUUCCCCCUCCUCCCUCUCCUCAUUAUCUUUUUUCAGUCUUCUUUCAUUUUGUUUAGUCAUAAGUUAUGUCUUUUGAUAUCAAAAAUAAUAUAAAGUGAAGUGUUCCAACGAAUUUCCAAAGAUCAGGGGGCAUAAUGCAAAAGUUUUAAAACAUCAGGGGGUAAUUUGUAAAUGUAUAAUGCAAUUCUCCUGAAUUUUGGACAUUUUUACCUUUCACAAUAGGAGCCACCUAGGGCGCGUUUGGUAACCAUUUUGUUCCCGGGAACAAUUUCUGAUCAAAAAUGAUUUUUUUUUAUUUUGUUUUCAGGAAUAAUUUCUAAGCAUUUUAAGCCGUUUGGUAACUGUCCAAAAUUUCUGAUUCUGGAAUAAAAUUGCAUUUGGUACCAUGCUCAAAAUUUCUACUCCAAAUCAUUUUCUUUUAAUUUUUAAAUAUUUUUUUCUUUUUUUUCCUUUCUCUCUCCUAUUCUUCUUCUUCUUCUUCAAGUGACCGGUCGCUGGAUGAGGGCCGGCGACCUCACUGGAGCAUUGUUGGUCCUCAUCGGCCGAGCCUCGCCAGUGGCUGGGCUUGCCUCCGGUAAGCUCGCCGGACCGGUUGCCGACAAUCAGCUACAGUGGGUGGCAAACGGCAACAGACGGCGGCGAACGGCAACCUCGGUGGUGACGGAAGAAGAAGAAGAGAAAAUAUGGGCUUGAUUUUUAGAUUUGUUCCUAGAAUAAGAAUCAAUUUUUUUUUUUUUUGAUUCUAUUCCAAAUCUACUUCCGGGAACAAAAAAAUAGAAAUUUGUUUCCGAGAACAAAAAUUUACCAAACGCGAUUCUGUUCCAAAAUUAUUCCUGAGAACAAAAAAAUCAGAAUUUGGCACUAUUGGGAUGGUUACUAAACAGGUCCCUAGUCAAAUUCUUCGACUUUUCAGUUGUGUCAGCUACUGAUAAUGGGAUUGGGAACUUUCUUAUGUGGAAAAAAGCACUAAUAUCUGAAAAUGGAGAAAGUUGAAGGAUUUAUCUAGGUCUAAAAGGGGAAGAAACUGCUUUAAGGCCACAUCAUAGCAGAUGAAUGUUCGGCUUUAGAACAAUAAACUUGGAAGGAUUUUUCACCUACAUGGUUUCUGACUUGGAGGUUCUUUUAAUCAAGAAGGGCAACAAUAGAGCUUGUCCUAAGGGUGUUUUGCUGCUCCAACCUCCAAUCUCUCCUUGGUCCAAAUAAAGAUCUAGGGUUUUUAAAUUGUCAAGUUCUUUGAAGGCAAAAGAAAAAAAAAAUUCUAAUCUUGUCUUUGCUGGUUCUGUUCCUUCUCACAUAACAAGCAGAGUCAGUUGAACUUAGAAGGCAAAGGUGGCUUGCUAAUGCAUUUUCCCUGUUGACAGAGUAAGCCGUACCUGAAAUUGAUCUAAUCUAGUGAAAAUCUAUAGAUGGAGAUAUCAGAAUGGCAUUCACUCUUGAGUUCAUUUUUUGAAUUUUCUGCCGGGUACUUGCAGAGAGACAAAUUAAUGAUCUCGCGGCAGAGGCUUGGUUUGGAAGAGUACACCACUCGCAGAAAGGCUCGUUUCUAACCUUAUUUUUUUUUUUGGUAAAGAGUUUCUAACCUUAUUGAACUGCAUAGAAUUGGUUAAUGACAUCUGGUCAUACCAAAGUUGACCUGAAGUGGCCUCUCAAUUGGCUAAUUCAUUAGAUAAGUGCAUGGUAUGUUGCAGCGUGGCAGCAAAUCUGGAUUGGCAUCAUGACUAUUUUCACGCUGCUGUUCCUUUCAGCUUGCUUGAAUUUUCAUUGCUGUCUAACGGUAGGUUGCAAGAAUGAGCAUGCAAUCAGGGGUUCCAUUGGAGCAUACGUGCAUGAUCUUACUUGAAACUGUUCGUCGAGAAAAUAACAUCUGAUAUUAUACAAGAUGUAUGAUUAAGCACCAUGUGACGUAGUAGUUUCUACCGUAUGGACAAGAUGAACUGCGACAGGUGAUAUAAUAAUUUCUCAAGUUUUCUCUUCUCUGAUAGAUACAAAAUCAGUGUUGUUUAUGAGUGCAGACAUACUUAGAAAUGCACAACCAGAGAGAAACAAUCAUUUUCGUAAGAAGAUAAUGAAUGAAUACCCAUCUGUAUCAUUGCACCAGCAUAAGGCCCUUGAUGCAGAGUCUUAAGCAUUGCUGUGAAAUUUCCAAGUCAAUCUAAGUCAUAAAGUUCUUUUGUUGGGAUUCAUACUGUUCACAAGCUUCCUAAAUGAGCAAUGAUCCUCUGUUUUGGGACAAAGAUAGGAUACUCCGGAAUAAGAAACUGCUAUUUUGGAUUCAGCUUUCUCAUGUAGAAUAUUUCAAAGCUUAAUUUCCGUGUCAGUGGCAGUUCGACAAUGGUGUAGUAGAGUUAGUCUUACUUCUGGUGAUGUGAUUCCAUGUGUCUGAUGUCACAAUUAAGAGUUCCUAUACUUGUAAACAUUACGCAAUUUUCACUUCCAUUCUCCUAAGGAUGUGAGACCACUUUUCUACCGUUGGAGAACUGCAACUCCAAGCAACUGUCACUGGUCUAGAAGGAAAUACUUGCAAUCAUGUUUAUCUUAUGCAGUUUCAUUCUCGUCUGCAUCCAAGUGUCAAGAAAUGAAGUCGGCUUUAUUUACAACAAAAUUGAGCUGCAAAAUGCAUUUCAACCAUUAUUGACAGAGAAAUACUUGAAGGAUAAACCCAAGCCAUAAUCAGUAGAGGAAGAGAAGAACAGGGAAGGGAUUAGAGAUGAAAGCAAAUGGGUCAAGACAGCAUCCAGCUGUGAGUAGCUGCAUUAUAAGGAGGAAUAACUUGACAAACAUUCUAAUCUUGGUAUUACAGCCACUCCUAGCUUACUUGUUCAUUGUGGUGCCGCCACUUCCAGUGCGCUGCAUGUUUUUUAAUCAAAAGCUGUGUAUUGAUCGGCAGCCACUUCCCUAGUCAAACAGAAGUGCAAACCAUGUUACAUUCAGAGACCACAUGGGUCAAAUAAUGUUUACUAAAAAUGAAAGGAGAUCUCCUGGUUUCUGAAUUAAACCUAGCCACAUAUGCAUGAUGAAUAACGGAGUCCUAAACGAAUAGGUCAUCAACAAAUCUUUCAGUCCUUGGCUUGAGACAUAGUUUUGGAAAUGUAGAACUGCCUGCAUCUGCUGCCGCACUAAAAUCACAAGGUGAGAGGACCCUUAUAGUUUCAUUGUAAAAAAUGUCCAAGGACAAACCCGUUUCUAUGGACUGAUUGUUCAUAGGUAUUUACGUAUCUAUACGUAUUUUAGUUCCUUGGAGACACGAGUCUAUACCAUCCUGAAGCGAUUCUCUUUUUCAGAUCUUAGUCGGAGCAUCCAAGAACGGCCAGGAACAUUGAUAAGGGCUUGAUCUACUCCAGCAAUUGAAAGGAUAAACAAUUCAUUAACGGUCUAGAGAUAAAGAAACAUGCAUUCAAAUGUGAAAUCCUUUAACGUCGAAGAUAAAGAAACAUGCUUUCCUACUUCAAAAAAGUCUGCAACAUGCGCACAUCAGAUUGACUCUUCAUCGAAGACAAAGAAACAAAAGGUGAAAUCUUUUAUAAGGAGGCCAGUACUUAAUAUGUUCAAUAAUUCAAAUGUGAAAUAUUUUAAUAUCGAAGAUAAAGAAACAUGCGUUCCUACUUCUUUAACAUGUUCGCAUCAGAUUGACUCUCGUGCGUUUAUGGCCACACAGUCUUUUCCAGAGUCAGAGUUAAUGGUAGAAGAUUGGAUUGGGCGGCUUCGCUGUUCCAUGACCACUGAUUGAAGAUCAUUUACUUCAACGAUGUCUUUACUUUUAUGAAGAUGGGAUUCGCCGGCCUCUUGCUUCAUCUUGACUUGCUUUCUUAGCUACCCGCUUCCUUCGCCUUUGAGUCAUGAAACCCGUGAGCCUUAGUUUUGCAGAGUUUCGAUCAUGCCGCUUGCUUCUUGGGAUUGCUCUUGUGCUGUGCUUUAACAGAGUUUCCUGCACCACCAAUGAAACAGACAGACUCGCGCUGCUCGACUUUAAGGCCGGCAUAUCCGAAGAUCCUUUCGGAGUGCUCAGCUCAUGGAACGAUAGCAUUGGGUUUUGCCAAUGGUAUGGCGUUAUAUGUGGCAGGAGACAUCGGAGGGUCAUGGUCCUGGACUUGCAAUCACAAGGACUGUUCGGAUCAAUCUCUCCUCAUAUCGGAAACCUCAGCUUCUUAAGGAAAAUGUUGCUGCAAAACAACAGUUUCAAUCAAAAAAUCCCUCCACAGCUCGGCCAAUUGCACCGCCUACGUAUUCUAGGAUUGACCAACAACUCGUUGAUUGGUGAAAUUCCCAAAAACAUAUCGGAUUGCUCGGAUCUGGUCUUCCUUAGGCUUGGGAACAAUGAACUAACUGGAGAAAUUCCUAGAGAGAUUGGGUCAUUGCUAAAGCUACGGCAACUCCUUUUGCAUGGUAAUAAUCUUAUCGGGAGUAUGCCUUCCUCCAUUGGGAACUUAUCUUCACUGGAGCUGCUUUUUUUAACCAAGAACAACUUGAGCGGGAGCAUUCCCCAAGUUUUAGGCCACCUAAAAAACUUGCAAUUAAUUGGCUUUGCAGCAAACGAAGUGUCGGGUACAAUUCCAUCUUCAUUACUCAAUCUCUCUUCCCUAGCUACGUUUGAUGCUGGAGAGAACCAGAUACAGGGGACAGUUCCUGCAAGCAUAGGUCUCAAACUCCCAAUUCUUGUAUUUUUUAGUGUUUGGGACAACCAACUUGAAGGAGCGAUUCCUUUGUCAAUAUCGAAUUGCACAAAGCUAGAUGUGCUUGAAUUUGGAGGUAAUAGAUUUUUUGGAAAAGUACCUUCUUUGGAAAAUUUGUAUAAUCUUAAUAAGCUACAAAUCUCUGAUAAUCAGCUUGGCGAUGGAGAACCUGAAGACUUGAACUUCCUUUGCUCAUUAACCAACAACAGCAAAUUAAGGUACGCGGUAAUCGGCAGUAACAAGUUUGGCGGAGUGUUGCCUACAUGCGUAGAUAAUUUAUCCAUCACUCUCACGUGUUUUGAUGUACGCGAGAAUCAAAUAUUUGGAAAGAUUCCGGAAGAAAUUGGGAAUUUUAUCAACCUGGAAGAGUUGUAUAUGAAUCUCAAUAAGCUUUCAGGUGUUAUCCCCUCAAAUUUGGGAAAUCUACGAAAUCUAUCAAAACUGGACUUAGGUUAUAACAACCUAGGAGGGACUAUUCCAUCUUCUUUAGGAAAUCUAACCAAGUUGAUUGGCCUAUACCUUGAUGGGAACAACUUUCAUGGGCAAAUUCCUUCACCUCUAUCAAAUUGCCUGUCUCUUAAUUUGCUCGAUCUGUCUAAUAACAAUCUCAGUGGUGUUAUACCCUCGCAACUUAUGAGUCUUCCAUCAUUAACAAUCCUUUUGAACUUAUCUCGAAACCAUUUGACUAGAGUUCUACCCUCAGAAGUUGGCAACUUGAGAAGUUUGACUGCGUUGGAUAUCUCGAACAAUUUAUUGGUAGGAGAAAUCCCAAGUGGUUUAGGUGGUUGCACUUCAUUGACAUCACUGAGGAUGGGAGGCAACUUCUUCCACGGGUCUAUUCCUCAAUCAAUGAGAUCGUUAGGAGGCAUCGAAGAACUAGAUCUUUCAUGCAACAAUUUGUCGGGUCAAAUUCCAGAAUUCUUAACAGUAUUUCGUUCCUUGAAACUUCUGAAUUUAUCCUACAAUAAGUUUGAAGGCGUGCUACCAUAUGAAGGAGUCUUUAGGAAUGCUACAAGUACUUCUAUUAUUGGGAACAAUAAGCUUUGCGGUGGGCUACCGGAAUUUCACCUCCCCAAUUGCAUCUCCAAAAGCUCUAAGAGCAGAAAGAUCAAUUUAGUGAUAUUGUCCACUUAUGUUAUUCUCGGAGUUCUUGGAAUAGCUCUUAUUCUAGCUUUCAUAUAUCUUUGAUGGUUGAAAAAGAUGGUGAUGGAACCAGUUUCAAGUUCAAGGGAUGAUUCAUGUCCAGACGUAUCUUAUGGAACAUUCCUAAAAGCAACCGAUGGUUUUUCUUCAACAAAUUUGAUCGGUGCUAGAAGCUUUGGUUCCAUUUACAGGGGUGUACUCGAGGUCAGUGGAACUACUAUUGCCGUGAAGGUGCUUCAUCUAGUCCGUCAUGGUGCUUUGAAAAGCUUCAAUGUCGAGUGUGAGGCAUUAAAGAACAUCAGACACCGAAAUCUUUUGAAGAUAUUGACGGUUUGCUCUGGCAGUGAUUACCAAGGAAAUGAUUUUAAGGCCUUAGUCUAUGAAUUCAUGGACAAUGGUAGCUUGGAACGGUGGCUCCACCCAAGUGCAACAUCAUCUCAUCGCAAUGGACUUCCAAGAAAGUUGAAUUUCAUUCAAAGGAUAAAUAUUGCCAUAGGUGUUGCUUCUGCACUGGAUUAUCUUCAUCACCAGUGCCACAUCCCCAUCAUUCAUUGUGAUCUAAAGCCAAGCAAUAUCCUCUUAGAUUCUGAGAUGGUCGCACAUGUUGGUGACUUUGGAUUGGCGAAAUUCCUUUAUGGAUCAUCUUUUGAUACCGCAGCUAAUCAUAUGAGCUCUGAGGGUUUUAGAGGGACAAUUGGUUAUGCUCCACCAGGUACUCUCUCUCUCUCUCUCUCUCUCUCUCAAACAAAGAAACUUUAUUUACCCAAAAAGUUAUUGAUGCUCUUCCUGUCUAAAGUUUGGUAGUGAAUAAUAAUUCUUAUAUUCCUACGCACAUUAGAUUCUGAUUAUUUAUAUGCACUCCAAAUUUGACCUGCACUGUGAUCUCCAUGUGUGGCAGAAUAUGCAAUGGGGUGUGAGGUUUCAAGAGAAGGUGACAUCUAUAGUUAUGGCAUUCUUUUACUAGAAAUGUUCACAGGAUUAAGUCCCACUGAUGACACCUUUAGAGACAAUUUGACUCUUCAUGGUUUUGUCGCAAAAGCUUUGCUUGAACGAGUGCUUGAAAUCAUGGAUAGCGCUUUGCUUCAAGAAAGAGAGAGCCAUCUAGGUCCUUAUAAUCUUCAGCAUGACAUAUUUCCAGAGUGUUUGGUUAUGAUCUAUAAUAUUGGAGUUGCUUGUUCAAACGAAGUGCUUGAAAGACGAAUGAGUAUUGGCGGAGUUACAAAUCGGUUGCAUCAGAUUAGGGAGAAACUCCUUGCUUCGGGCUUACAUGGACAGGUAAAUUCUAUAACUAAAGAGAGAAUCAAUCAUCCUUUUCUCCUUUAGACCAUAGUGGAUGAUUAUUCAUCGUCUGCAUCCGUACAUAUCUAACCUUACACAAGGCCUUGGGUGCCUACACAUUUUUCAGUAUUUUUGGUUUACUCAAAGCUUUGAUUUGGUGCCAUGUUAUGUAAAAGUGAAUCAAAAUAAAUUUUCAUGACCUUUUUUUUUUUCCAUUUGUAUGAUGCUCAUUAAGACGUAUUGCAAUCGAUUAGCUCGUGGAAAUCUUAUUUAAGGGAAAGCUUGGUUUAUGCAAAUCGACUAGGAAUGGGCCGCUGGAAUUGAACUAAUGUUCCUAAAGCUAUGUUCGGUCAAGAAAAAGCAAUACUACCGCUCUGGUGGAUGAAUAAGGAUGUAUAGCUUUUGGAUUCAGCAUACUAGCAUGACAUGCACAGCAAGAAUUAUCUGGGAUUGUUUUGUAGAAUGAUGUUAUAUGACUAUUGGGUUUUUCUUAGUGUGUAAGUGGAAAUUCUCCAGCACGUUUUAGAAAAGUUACUUGAUCGCCAUUUUUCUCAAAAGCACCUAGUAACAUAUGCAUACGACUUACUAUAGGUAUAUGGAGUAGUCAUAUUUCAUUAUAUGGGAUUCGUUAAUUGCGCGGAUAACCAACUUUCAAAGGUAGAAAUUACUGAUUAAUCAAGAACUUAGUAACUGUUGAUAUGCUCAAACUUGCUUCUCUAAAUAAAAAGUGACCAUAAACGUGGAGUUAUUAAAAAUUUAUAAUUUGAAAGUAAAGAUACUUUUUAUCAUGACAAAAUUAGUGAUCACUGAAAUGCAAGUACCUACUUUCCACGGUGAAAACUUACUAGCCGAGUUAUAAGACUUACUCAGUAUAAUCGCAUACCUGAAUUUUGUAUGAAAGUUAUUAAUCGGGUGUGGAGAAAAUUAUUAACUAUUAAUAGGGCAAUAAUAAUUUUCUUCUUAAAGAAAGUUACUAUUCACAUUAACAAAUAACUAGGUAUUAGGGCUGAUUGGUUUUCGAGUCUCAAAAUUGGGAUCCGCUGGUCCAAUCUAAUGAAAUUGGUUACUAUUUCUUUUUCAUUUUUCUAUUCAGAUAUCUUAUUAUCCAAAACAUGACAAUGGAUAAAUUCAAAGCUUGAGACAAAUCCUAUACUUCCAUUAAGAUAUCUAAUUCUCAAAUUACAAGCUCUUAUUUUCUUAGAAACAAAAAACUAAACUCACUAAUUCUUUUGAAAAAAUAGAAAAAUAAGUAUAUGUUAUCGGUCCGAUUUGGUUUCUCUUGGAAUUAAGAAUUGGAUUGUUCAUACACUAAUUUCACUUUUAAGAAAUGGGAACUAGACUGACACUCUUAGGAAUUGGAUCCAACCAGCCAAUUCGGUCUAUCAGGGUGGUUUCUGGUUCGGCCGUUCCGUUUUGUACAUCCUACUAAUUACUUUAUUGUAACUUGAUUUCAAAGUGUUGCAGGGUGGAUAUUGCAAAAAAUCGAGAUACCGCGGUGGCAAAUCGCGACAGUCUCAAAAACCUAGGGGGCAUGAUGCAAUCUUUCCCCCAAGAGACCCGCAAAGUCUUGACACUCUAUGGGAGUCCGCUGCACUUACACAAAUUCCCACGCCGGUUCGAGAGGCGAUCUUGCACUCGCGCACAAAGAUGGGGUUUCGGUUCGACCUGCUGGUCCUCGCGUUGGCCCCUGCUCUCGACUCCGGCGCUCUCCGAUCUGGUGUUGACCAGGGUCGAUCGGCACGUGAGUCUCUCUCUCCUCUUCUCCGUUCGCCCGGUGAGCUCGCGGCUGUUAGCUCUUCGAUCGGGCUCGUAUCGAGCAGGUUUUAGAGGGGUUUCUGGUUUUGAGGUCUUUAAGAUGUGAUUGCUUUUGCCGUGAAGUUUGAACUGGUUCCGAUGCCAUCGGCGUCGUCGAUGUGCGAUUCGCGAAUCAAGUAUCGAGAGAUGCGCCGUUAGGCCUUUGUUGUUUGAAUCAGAUGCGAGGAGGCGGGCUCUGAGGAUGUGUAGGUUUUGUAGGUUUGUUUGCAUUUUAGAGCAUUUGAACUCGUGUCGGAUGAUUGGGCUGUCUGAUAGUGGUUCUUUACUUGAGUGGUCGGUUUUAACGAUCCUCCUGUCGUGAGGAUGAUGAGAGUAGAUUGUGAUAAGUGAAUGGGCUCCUCGAAAUUUAAAGGAUUUUGUUUGCUGGUCGAAAGGUCCACUUGGUUUUGUCUGGUUUAGAUAUGAUGAGAAAAGGAUUAAGUCAAUUCAGGGUAGAGGGUUUCCAUAUCUAAAUCUGCAAGACUAUCGCGUGGAAUAAUGGAGCUGAAAAAGCAUUCAGUUGAACCAUGAUACUUAUGAUAUUCAUUGACAAUCACAUGAACUGCUUGACUAAAAUUAUCAGAAAAGAAUUUUGGGAAGAAUACUGAAAAUCUAAUGUUCAAUAAUUCAAACAAAAUCUAACCAAAAUGAAGGUGAAUUCCUACACCAUAGGUAGGAUAUUACAGAAAAUGUCAGUACCUGAGGUGCAUAUACACAACCAAGGGCACCGACUAUAAUUCCUCCUAAGACAAAGCCGCCAACAAAGAUGCUUGCACUGCUCGGCCUUCCACCAUCUCUGCAUAAGAGAACAAGGAAAAGACUUGCAUCAGAUACAUUCAAUCACAACUAGGACUAUAGCCAUUACGUCACAAUUUGAUAGAAUUAUUAAAAUUUUAGGAAAUGAGUUUUGUAUUAUGAACAGAAAUUUCUUGUUGUCGGCUGACCUAUCUAACAUGUCAAGCAUAAAACGAAAGAAUUUAUUAUUGAAAUAAAUAUCAUUGGUUGUGGAAUGCGUUUGCCUCCACUGCAUGAGUCUUCCAGAUCCAUCCUUGCCCAAAUAGAUUUAGAAAAACAUUUUCCACGCUGAUCAGAUACACAAGUUUAGAGUAACUAAACUAUGUCUGCACAUCAAUGGAAGGAAGUCAGGAAUAGAGAAACAGGACAAGGAAAUACUGCAUAAAACUGUGUCCUGGCUCUCUCUUUCCCUCCUCCCUCGGCCCUUUUCCCCUCAACUUUUUCCUUUCCCUCUGUCACCCACAACAUUUUACAGAUUUGCCAGAUCUUGACAAGUAUUCAAUGUGUCUCUGUUUUGAAUACCCAUUUCUGCAACAUAAGGUCUAUACAGGUCUGACAUAGACGGGACAAUAAUAGAAGAAACACUGACUGCUGAUUAAGCUUCCACUUAGUAAUUGCAUCCAAAUUCUAGUAGUCAGAUUAUGGCAACAUAAACCAUAAAAUGUAGAAUGACGUCCUAUCAUAUCAGAAGUUAAGGAAACGUGUUCAGCUAUAACUUGUAUAUCAUCUGAUUCAAAUCAAGAAAGGGAGUAAGAUGCCGAUGUCUAAAUAGAGGAUGCACAAAACCUCUGCUCGGCAAUCGGGCAGAUUCAUUCCAACAUGACAAGAUGAACAUUUCGAGUGAGAAUUACACCGUGAGUCAUGCUAAUGUGGUAGCACACGCCCAUCACGUACUCUAGUCUUCAUCGCAAGUUUUUGCACAUUCAUCGAAAACGAGCACCACACCAACAAGUCGUACGAUAUAUCGAUCAGGCGAAAGGCUUUCCCGCGCAAGACAGCUAAUCAUCACAAGCAUGCGGCAGGUGACGACACCCAUAAGAAGCCGCACAAUGCAACUUCUUUAUGAGAUAAAAGCAAUAGGCAAGGCAGACGGCCGCAAAAACUCGAUUUCCCGCCGUGAUCUGCAGUCAAUCACAGGUCUCGAGCUCGCUAAACUCAUCGCAGGCUACUUAAUGCAACUGUCGCAAGUGCACAGGAAUUAGUAACACUGAUUUACAGGCAUUUGCCUUCUCUUCAUCUCGCGGCUCGCCAACAAACAUCCGUCUCAUUCAGCUUUUUUCUAGGAUCAAGCGCGAUUCAAAGCUAGCGAUCAGCACAAAACAUCGAACGGAAAGACGAAAUCGAAAGGGAGAUUGUUACUCGACGAGAGCUGCGCCCGGGGAUUUCUCGCUGAGGCCAGAGGACUCGAGACUGCGCUCAUCGUUACGGCGUGCGGCGUAAGGUGGGAGCGAAGCGCGAGGGCAACGAGGUUCGAUUCGAGAGCGGAAUGAGAAAUGGAAGGAGG